rnacentral:rRNA from 1 species
GUCUAUGGCCAUGCCACCCUGAACAAGCCUGAUCCCAUCUGAUCUCGGAAGCUAAGUAGGAUUGGGCCUGGUUAGUAUUUGGAUGGGAGACCACUUAGGAAGAGCAGGUGCUGUAAGCA